rnacentral:rRNA from 1 species
AACGAACGCUGGCGGCAGGCCUAACACAUGCAAGUCGAGCGCACCUUCGGGUGAGCGGCGGACGGGUGAGUAUCGCGUGGGAACGUGCCCUUCUCUACGGAAUAGUCCUGGGAAACUGGGGGUAACACCGUAUACGCCCUUUGGGGGAAAGAUUUAUCGGAGAAGGAUCGGCCCGCGUUGGAUUAGGUAGUUGGUGGGGUAAUGGCUCACCAAGCCGACGAUCCAUAGCUGGUUUGAGAGGAUGAUCAGCCACACUGGGACUGAGACACGGCCCAGACUCCUACGGGAGGCAGCAGUGGGGAAUCUUAGACAAUGGGGGCAACCCUGAUCUAGCCAUGCCGCGUGAGUGAUGAAGGCCUUAGGGUUGUAAAGCUCUUUCAGCUGUGAAGAUAAUGACGGUAGCAGCAGAAGAAGUCCCGGCUAACUCCGUGCCAGCAGCCGCGGUAAUACGGAGGGGACUAGCGUUGUUCGGAAUUACUGGGCGUAAAGCGCACGUAGGCGGAUCGGAAAGUUGGGGGUGAAAUCCCGGGGCUCAACCCCGGAACUGCCUUCAAAACUAUCGGUCUGGAGUUCGAGAGAGGUGAGUGGAAUUCCGAGUGUAGAGGUGAAAUUCGUAGAUAUUCGGAGGAACACCAGUGGCGAAGGCGGCUCACUGGCUCGAUACUGACGCUGAGGUGCGAAAGCGUGGGGAGCAAACAGG